AUUACAACUUUUGGCCCAAAGGUUUGAAUAAUUAAAUUCAAACCUAUAGUUUUUUUUAAUAUAAUUUUGGGACUCACAAUCCCAUUUUUAUAUUAUUUUUCUCUCUUCCUCUCACGUUGCUCGGCGUUUUCUCACAAGGGGGGAUUAUUUUCUUUUUUCUUCAGAUUAUAUUGACAAAGAUAGUGGUGAAAAAGGAGUUGUGAAGGGGAACUUGUUAUUCAAGACACAAGGAGUGAGUCCGGCCGAGAAAGCACCAGAGGUGUAAUUAUGGUGUAUGAGACAUCAUCUUUUACGUUGCCUCUUAUUUUAGAUUAUACAAUGUAUCUUGUGCCAACUUAGGACAUAUCUUCU